UUUCUGGCCACAGUUUACUAAACUAUGAAUGGCAAGAUUGAAAUUGUUUGUUAUCUGUUUGAUCGAACAAAAGUGCAGCAAUGGCGUAAGACGCAAUGUUUUAUCAAACAAUUUAUGGGCUGCGAGUGGCAGCUUACUGGACUGGGUGAAAUCUGUACUGAUUUAUUACAGUAUUCCCAAUAAAGAGUGUGUAUUUAAAUGAAAUUCAGACUCACCGGCAAAUAGGCGCCUCUAUACAAACGAUAGCCGUGAGGCUGACGGUUUUGUAAAAGACACGAGGCCAUCGGUAACCAGUAGCUAAUCUCUUUUUUUACUCGUAGCUCUAUACCAA
rfam:Xenorhabdus nematophila ATCC 19061 chromosome, complete genome